GAUGUGACGCGUUAGCCGUUGGCCGCACGAGCGCGCGGAGCAGCCAUGGCGUCGGGCGGGCAGGCGGGCGGCGGCGGCGGCGGCCCCGGGUCCCCCCCCGAGGGGCUGCGGGACUGGGUCCGGAGCGCCUGCCGCUUCGCCGCCGACAGGAGCGACUUCCGCAGAAACCUCAUAGUUAACCUGGGGCUUUUUGCUGCUGGAGUCUGGGUAGCCCGAAACUUGACUGACAUUGAUUUGAUGGCUCCUCAACCAGUUGCAUAGCAGUACCAGUGAGUACCUGACAUUGUGAAGGAGUCUCCCCUCCACUGCUUUAUACUACCCCUUAGAGUUGUCAACACCUAUUUUAGUGAAGAUGUACUUGUGUGAUUUGCUCACUACUACAUCCUUUUUUGCCAAGGCCUCAGGAUGUGAAUAAAGUGUACUUGCAUCAAGUCUGAAGAGCUUCUAAUCCCAGUGUGACAGGAUGACCAAAAUGAUGAUCAGAAGAGCUGUGUGGUGUUUGCUUUUGUUAUAGGUAACAAAGUUCAGCAGCAGCUCUAAAAUUGUAUUUUAAUUCAAGCAUAGCUAUCAUUCCACAAUGAACAGUGAUAAAGUGAGGAGAAGCCAUUUAACUCUUGAUGUUUGUUGUAUGUUCUGUUGACCCUACUGAGCUCAAUGUCUAUUAAAGUAAGCAGUUACAUUUUCAAGACUUGAGAAGCUGUUGCAUAGUGAGUUUAAUUCUGUACCAUGUCUAGAAGCUUCUUAUUAAAUUGUCAUAAAAUGUGUGAAAUAAUGACA